GGAUGCUAAUCUCCGUUGGAGCGGUGUGGAGGCACAAUGCUCCCCAAGAUGCCACUAAGGCCACCGUAAUCUCCUCACGCCCUCGCACAAUGCAAGAUGUCGUGAUUCCACUAAGGGACCCUUGAGGGCGGUCACCGAACCCGUACGAAUGGCAACCCUUGGGGGCGGUCACCGAACCCGUAUACGUGGCAACCCUUGGGGG
rnacentral:lncRNA from 1 species